GCAGCGAAACUCGGUCAUAGGCACAGGGAAGGAGGUGGAGUGUGUAAUGACGUCAGAAGCGGCGCCGAAGCGGAACUGUUUUGUUAUUAACAGACGCGAACAGGGUCAUGACGGGCUUCUUAAACAGAGUCAGUUGGAAGCCACGCUACUCCGCCGCCGAGACGACGAUUGAGACUUCUUCAAGAUCUGCACCUCCGUUAUAUUUGUUAUCGGAAGUGGAUAAAUCGUGAACUUUCUUGUAAAAGUUAUAUAGGGAUUUAUCUUUUAUAUAACGAACCGUUAUAUUUGGCGGCCCAACGUGUGGCUGGCACGGACGUUUACACGACCCUGAGAGCAAGACGGACAUUUUCGGCGGAAAAUGACAAUGAUCUCCCAGAACUGUCGGCGUAGCUGAGCGGCGAAUGCGGCUCUCUCCGAGGCGAGAGUCGAUGGGCUGCUUCAGCGAGUGAAGAGUUCCAGAGACAGCGGAAAGCAGUACAUCGAGGGACAGAGCGACCCAAGGCACCGUGGGACUUCAGGCCUGUCUUAUCGCGGGACUUCAGGACCAAGCUUCGAGGGACAACGUGGGAUGGAUUGCCGGAAAUAGCAAGUGAAAGGAGCAGUGUGGUGUACAGAGUUGUGUAAUUAGGUUUGGAAAAUUGUUGUACUGUUUUGUAUGUGUAGUAGGUUUGAUACCAGAGUUGUUGGUUAUUUGUACAAACAUGAGUACCAAUAGAAGUGAAACUACCGAUUUCGUAGGAUUUUUAGAAAAUCCUGAAAAUUCAAAUAAUUCAGAUCCCAACCUUGAUGUUGAAAUAAUAGAGCAAGAUUUUUCAUGUCGGCAGGAAAAACCUGUAAACUGCCGAACCAGGUCAGAUCAUGGAAUCCCUUAGAAUUAGCAGCCAAGUUGAGGUUAUUUUGGGUCAGUUUCAAAUGAUCAGUUGAUAUUGAAUAUGAUGAGAGCAAUGAUGCGGGACAUGGCACAGAAAAUUUAACAGGGACAACGGGAACUCACACAAAAAACGGACAAGAAAAGAAAAGAAAAGAAAUGACCUAGUACCCUCUUAGCCAGAAGGCCCUCCGGGAUUUUAGUUUACUUUACAUUAAUUUUACAGUUAAGAUCCCACAGUGAACCAGACAUCGCACCCCAAUCCCUACAGUUCCGCUCAAAUCGGACGCUAGAGGGGCCUCCCCUGUGCGCUCUCCUUUUCGAGAGCCCUACCCACUCACUGAGCUACCCUGCCCAAGAUGCGAGGCCUCCCCCACCGUGGUAGUUUGAAAAAUAAAAUAUAUUUAUUUUUUAAAAGAGAUACCUAACUAAAAUUUUGCUGAAAUUGAAACCACUGCAUUUAAGAAAAAAAAAGAAAAA